ACAACAAGUAGACUUCUUAAGACUGAACAAUAAGGAAAUAACAAGACAUGGAGUUCACGAGAGGUCAAUCACUAUUUUAUAAGGCCUAUGAAGUAUGAUAGCUUUUACCUCCAUGGAAAGUCUUGGACAAAAUACAAGGAAGAAGUCCAACCAUAAUUGAAUAGGACUCAUAGUGUGUACAUUUAUGCUAUCGUGAGAAAUAAAAUAAAGAACUUACAAUUUCAAGCGUUUUGAUUUGUUGUAGUUACAUCACUUACAGGAUUCACCAUCUCCUGAUUGUUCCAACCUAUGUCCAAGAAUUUAAUUCAUGUUAUAUGUCUAAAAAAGGUUAGAUGCAGAUGAAAACUAAUUCUACAAUAAAGAAGACGUGCAUCUUCUUCUUUGGACCGUUCUGAUUGAUCUCUUCAUUGACCAUAUCUCCAAAUUCUGGGCAGGCAUUUUCCAUAAGAACACUAUUUUCAAUGGCACGGAUUUCUUUUUCUGAGUUAAUAGGUAAAGUAUAUUUUAACAAUUCUUGACCAGUGCCUGGAGGUUGAAAAUUGGCAUUUG
rnacentral:lncRNA from 1 species